rnacentral:lncRNA from 1 species
GUGAUUAUUAAAUGGGCUCCUGUUCUAAUUACAACACAACUGAUAAGAAAUUCACUUCAUCUAGUUAAACAGAAUGUUGGGGGAAACAUUACCAGUUGGAGAGCUGGAUUCUUCUGAGGCUGAAGAAGUAUCUACAGACAAAGAGAAACAAAUAUUUAGGCAACAUCGUGAAGAACUUUACCAGUUGGCUCUCCACUCUUCCCUUCUGCUGAAGUUGAAGACGUAUCUAUGAGCAAAGAGAAGAAGAAAUUUAAACAGAAUGUUGGGGGAAACAUUACCAGUUGGAGAGCUGGAUUCUUCUGAGGCUGAAGAAGUAUCUACAGACAAAGAGAAACAAAUAUUUAGGUAAUUUAUCAAAUAGGAAGAGUAAAGGCUGUCAUUUGUUUAAUGUAAAAGCAUGACGGGCAGAAAACAUUACCAGAAGAGAUGUCUUCUGCAGAGACUGAAGAUGAAUCUGUAUAUGAAGCCAGAAAAUAGGGAGUUGCAAUUUUAGUGUCUUGAUGGCUCAGUAGAUAAAGUACGUGCGUUGGAAACUUGUGACUCUGAGAUCAGUUCUCAGAACCCACGUAAAACUGCCUGGAGUAAUGUGUACUUGUAAUCCCAACACUGAGGAGACAGAGGCAAGAAGAACCCAGUGCCUGCGGCCAGUUACCCUACCCCAAUUAGUGAGCUC